AAUAUAUCCAAACCAAAUCACCCCCAAAUUCUCCCUACUCACUCCCGAUAUACAAAGAACUUCAAAACCCUAGGUCAUUGGCGUUCUUCUUCGCUCUUCGGUGCUCUUUUUCAUUCGAUCUUUUUCGGCCAAACAAAUCCAACCUCCAAUCAAUUAGUUGUGAUUCCAGCCAUUAUAAUUCUUAUAUCCCUAAAUCAUACUUUAUUUCAUGUCCGAAAUUAGUUGUGAUUCAAUUACUAACUCGAUGAUGACUUAUUUUUGUUGUGAAAUUACUCGUUGUUUCACUUCAAGGAAUUCGUUGAACCCCGGAAGAAGAUUUUAUAGGUAUUCUAAACCUAAGAUUGAAAAUUGUGGAUUUUGAAAGUGGAAAGAUAAUUCUCUGUGAAAUGCUUUGGUUGAAGUAAAUUUAUUGAAGUCUAAAUUGGAAGUUGUUACGGUGAAAAUAGAGAAUUUCAGAGAGUCGUUGAGUGUGGUUAAGAUUGAAAGAGACAACUUGAAGAAAAAAAUGAAGAAUUUAAAGCGUAUAAAUUACUUCGAGGUGAACAAAUCAAGAAAUUUGAAAGCGACAUUGUUGAGGUUGAAGAUGUUGUUUAUAUUGUCAUUUGUUGUGUUUGUGGGAUCAGAUAUGUUGUUGCAAUUUUCGAGUAGCGUAAUUUCUUGGUUGUAUAAGUGUAUGUUUUUCUUGAUUGCAACUUUGGAGUAUUUUCAAGUAACAUAAUUUCUUGGUUGUGUAAGUA